GUCCUCUUGCUUAUAUAUGAGGUUUGACCUGCCCAGUGAUUAAUUUUAACGGCCGCGGUAUUUUGACCGUGCAAAGGUAGCAUAAUCAUUAGUCUUUUAAUAGGAGGCUUGUAUGAAGGGUUUGACGAGUUGUUAACUGUCUCAUUCAAUUUGAAAUUAAAAUUUAACUUUUCAGUUAAAAGGCUGAAAUUAAUUUGGAAGACGAGAAGACCCUAUAGAUCUUUAUAAAUAAUUAUUUUAUUUAAAUUUUUGGUAUAUUAUAUUUAUUUAUUAUUUUAUUUAUUUUGUUGGGGUGACAAAAAUAUAUAAUUAACUUUUUUAUUUAAUUAACAUUGAUGUAUGAAUUUUAGAUCCAUUCUUAUUGAUUGUUAGAUUAAGUUACC
rnacentral:rRNA from 1 species